GCCUGGGUGGUGCAAAUGGUUAAGCGUUCAGCUAUUAACAGAAAGGUUGGUGGUUUGAAUCCACCCAGAGGUA
rnacentral:tRNA from 1 species